UAACUUACCUGGCUGGGAGGCUCUCGCGAUCAAGAAGACGGGACCCCCAUGGUGAGGCCCGUGCAUUGCACUUUCGCACAGGCUGAUCUGUGUGGCAACCUCAAGUUGUGGUUAGCCAACAGCUAAAAA
rnacentral:snRNA from 1 species